GCUUGUCUCAAAGAUUAAGCCAUGCAUGUCUAAGUACAAGCCUCAGUAAGGUGAAACCGCGAAUGGCUCAUUAAAACAGUUAUAGUUUAUUUGGUAAUCGAAUUUACAUGGAUAACCGUGGUAAUUCUAGAGCUAAUACAUGCUGCUAAGCCUGACUUUUUGAAGGGCUGUAUUUAUUAGAUAACAGACCAAUAUUCCUCGUGUCUAUUGUGGUGACUCAUAGUAACUGAUCGGAUCGCAUGGGCGUGCCCGCGACAAACCAUUCAAGUUUCUGCCCCAUCAGCUUUCGAUGGUAGUGUAUUGGACUACCAUGGCUUUUACGGGUAACGGAGGAUUAGGGUUCGAUUCCGGAGAGGGAGCCUUAAAAACGGCUACCACAUCCAAGGAAGGCAGCAGG
rnacentral:rRNA from 1 species